AGAGUUUGAUCCUGGCUCAGGAUGAACGCUGACAGAAUGCUUAACACAUGCAAGUCAACUUGAACUUCGGUUUGGGUGGCGGACGGGUGAGUAACGCGUAAAGAACUUGCCUCACAGAUAGGGACAACAUUUGGAAACGAAUGCUAAUACCUGAUAUUAUGAUUUUAGGGCAUCCUAGAAUUAUGAAAGCUAUAUGCGCUGUGAGAGAGCUUUGCGUCCCAUUAGCUAGUUGGAGAGGUAACGGCUCACCAAGGCGAUGAUGGGUAGCCGGCCUGAGAGGGUGAUCGGCCACAAGGGGACUGAGACACGGCCCUUACUCCUACGGGAGGCAGCAGUGGGGAAUAUUGGACAAUGGACCAAGAGUCUGAUCCAGCAAUUCUGUGUGCACGAUGAAGUUUUUCGGAAUGUAAAGUGCUUUCAGUUGGGAAGAAAAAAAUGACGGUACCAACAGAAGAAGUGACGGCUAAAUACGUGCCAGCAGCCGCGGUAAUACGUAUGUCACAAGCGUUAUCCGGAUUUAUUGGGCGUAAAGCGCGUCUAGGUGGUUAUGUAAGUCUGAUGUGAAAAUGCAGGGCUCAACUCUGUAUUGCGUUGGAAACUGUGUAACUAGAGUACUGGAGAGGUAAGCGGAACUACAAGUGUAGAGGUGAAAUUCGUAGAUAUUUGUAGGAAUGCCGAUGGGGAAGCCAGCUUACUGGACAGAUACUGACGCUGAAGCGCGAAAGCGUGGGUAGCAAACAGGAUUAGAUACCCUGGUAGUCCACGCCGUAAACGAUGAGUGCUAAGUGUUGGAGGGUUUCCGCCCUUCAGUGCUGCAGUUAACGCAUUAAGCACUCCGCCUGGGGAGUACGACCGCAAGGUUGAAACUCAAAGGAAUUGACGGGGACCCGCACAAGCGGUGGAGCAUGUGGUUUAA
rnacentral:rRNA from 1 species